UACGUAGGGCGCGAGCGUUGUCCGGAUUUAUUGGGCGUAAAGCGCUCGUAGGCGGCUUGUCGCGUCGACUGUGAAAACCCGCGGCUCAACUGCGGGCCUGCAGCCGAUACGGGCAGGCUAGAGUUCGGUAGGGGAGACUGGAAUUCCUGGUGUAGCGGUGAAAUGCGCAGAUAUCAGGAAGAACACCCGUGGCUAAGGCGGCUCUCUAGUACGGUACUGACGCUGAGACGCGAAAGCGUGGGGAGCGAACAGG
rnacentral:rRNA from 1 species